ACGGGGGGUGCUAGCGUUGUUCGGAAUCAUUGGGCGUAAAGAGCGUGUAGGCGGCUGGAUAAGUCAGAUGUGAAAGCCCUGGGCUUAACCCAGGAAGUGCAUUUGAAACUGUUCAGCUUGAGUAAGGGAGAGGAAAGUGGAAUUCCUGGUGUAGAGGUGAAAUUCGUAGAUACCAGGAGGGACGCCGGUGGCGAAGGCGCAGUACUGGUCCUAUCAUGACGCUUAGUCGCGAGAGCGAGUGUAGCGAACAG
rnacentral:rRNA from 1 species